rnacentral:rRNA from 1 species
UGGGGGAUAUUGCACAAUGGGGGAAACCCUGAUGCAGCGACGCCGCGUGAGUGAAGAAGUAUUUCGGUAUGUAAAGCUCUAUCAGCAGGGAAGAAAAUGACAGUACCUGACCAAGAAGCCCCGGCUAACUACGUGCCAGCAGCCGCGGUAAUACGUAGGGGGCAAGCGUUAUCCGGAUUUACUGGGUGUAAAGGGAGCGUAGACGGUUAUGUAAGUCUGGAGUGAAAGCCCGGGGCCCAACCCCGGGACUGCUUUGGAAACUGUGUAACUGGAGUACAGGAGGGGCAGGCGGAAUUCCUGGUG